rnacentral:lncRNA from 13 species
GCAGGCAUCAUUGCAAAUAGCUGCAGCAUUGUAAACAAUGCAGAGUGUCUUGCCAAGGACUACUCACUGACCUUGUUUGGCUCUGAGAGCAAUGAGCAGGCCCUGUUGACUGGAGGGUGGCCAUUUGAUAACACAGAUUCUUUCCUGAGGAGACUUUGGCUUCUGGUGACUUGGGUCCCGGGCAGGUUCCAGAACUUGCAUCUAACUCUCCCAUUGUGCAGACCUGAGUUGAUCUAUGUCACAACUGAAGCCCCAGGCCACCAGAAUUCACAGGUGAUUUCACAGCCUACAGUUCUCUGAACUGGUCCUUCCCAGAACCUUUGGCCUCUGAUAACUCCAAUGAUUUCCCUUACUCUUUCCAACAUAGGCAUGCAUUUACAUGUGUUUUUCAUUUUGUAUCUACUACUUUUAGGUGCUUUGUAGCAGGAUAGUUUUUCAGGAUAUUUACUCUGCCAAUGCUGAUGGAAAAGGAAGUCUCUGUCUACUCCUCACCUUCCUGUAACCCAGUUUUGCCCCUAGCAGUUUACAGAUUCUAUUCCUGCUAAGGUCACCAGUGACAUUGUAAUUCCUAAAUAAAUACUCAUCAGGCCUUUUCUCA